GCCACUUCCAAAUGGCUGAAAAUAAAAUGCAAGCUGAGUAGUGAGUGAAGCUGCAGGGGAGAGACAGAGGAGGAAUCACAGGCCUGCCAAGCUAUAUUUAUUUUGUAAAGAAUGGAUUUGUAUUAGUUAGAUUGGGAGGCACACACAUACAUGUGUGCAUGCAAAGAUGUACAUAAAAGGCUUUUAAAAUCAGACACUUGCUUUAUGUUUUUAAAAGGUAAGGGGAUAAGUUGUUUAGGAUUUGAUGCAGAUUUUGCUGUCAUGGAAGAUCCAGGUUCCUUCACUACCCUCUCAUCCCUAGGGUGUGGUGUGGCCUUUCUCCAGCCAUUGUGUCCUCAUAUCCAAGUGGACAGCCACACAGUUUCUACUUCAUUCUUCUAGAAAACAAAGGCACCAAUUUCAAAGCUCUUUUCCUCUUUGGUCCCUGAGUCCUCCACUUCAUUUGAGGAGAGCAAUGCCAUGAGCCCUGGGUGGAGGUGUGGGAGGCCAGGAUGUGAGGAGCAUACUUCAGAAAACAACAGAGAAAUGCACUAAAUGUCAGAGAGGGCAGCUUUGACAGAGUUGGCUUCACAGCAGCUGGAGACAUUGGUGAAGGUGCACCUUCAGUUUUGUAGAGCAGAACCCUGGUAACGUAGAAGCCCCCUUCUUCACAGCCUCCUUUCCCCUCAUGACAGGCUCACUCAUGGUGGAGUAGACGACGCAGAAGUUAGCUGGCCCUGAACCGAUGGGACAUACAUAGAGAAGGCUUUCCGGAAACUUGAAGAGAGCCGUGUCUUGUGCUUGCCCCUACUAUGUCCUUGACCCAAAUACAUACCUUAAGAUGAGAAAGAUGUCAGAGAUGGAGGAAAGAUGGAGAAAACUGAUGUGGGAGGUCACUGGGGGCAACGGAGAAGACAAGGAGUCAGCAACAGCCAAGCCACCCCUGCCACUACCAAAGGGUUUCUCUGUAUUGCUUUGGAGGUUGUCCUGGAACUCGCUCUAAUUCACAGAGAUCUGCCUGCCUCUGCAGUGCUGGGAUUAAAGGCAUGUGCCACCAACGCCCGGCCUGUGCAACUUUUUAGGAUUUUUUUCUUUUUAAGACAAUGUCUUAUUCUAGCCCAGAUUGCCCUGAAAUUCACUGUGUAGCCUAAGCUGGCCUCAAAAUUGAAGCAAUUCUCCUGCCUCCAUCUCCUAAUCCUGGGAUUAUAGGUGGGAGCCACCACACCCACCUCAGUAACUAUUUAGUUUAAAAGGACACAAUAACUAUAAUUUAAUUUAUUAUUUUUUUCCUCAUUUUUCUAGUGUUCAUAGCAUUCUACUGUGAUUGGGC
rnacentral:lncRNA from 1 species